GCAUUGAGAUCUCUGUGGCAAGGCCCAGGACUCUCUCUCUCUCUGGCUCAGAUAUGUUCAAAAUUUUAUCAUUAAUGUGGAUAAAUAAAUAGAAGGCUUGCUGAGCCAAUUUACAGGUGAUACAAAGAUGGAGACUGCAAUGAAUACGAUAAUGAGGGAGUCAGGUACCAAGGAGAUGGUCAAACUGAAGAGCAUCCAGAAUUUUUGAUAAGGAUAAGAGAUAAUUCAAAGCACCUGAAAAUUAUAUAGGGUGGUUGAAGUUGCUGGAAUUGUUUAUCCUGGGGGAAUAUGAUAACCAUCAAGAACAAGUCCAGGGAACUGAAUUCAAAACCCGAGGUGCCAGCUAACUGAUGCAGAGAGGAAAAACAAAAGCACAAGUCAUCAAGCCGGACUGAGGUGCUGGACCAUCACAUUUGAAUGACAGCGACAGAAUUACUUAAGUGCAUUGGACACCUUGUUCUGUGGAGCCACACACAGGGACUUGAUUCUACAGGUCAUCAACUCAAGAGCCCACCCUUUUGCAAUAGGGUGCAAUGAUCUAAUUAAU
ensembl:lncRNA novel transcript